CCUACGGGUGGCAGCAGUCGAGAAUCAUUCACAAUGGGGGAAACCCUGAUGGUGCGACGCCGCGUGGGGGAAUGAAGGUCUUCGGAUUGUAAACCCCUGUCAUGUGGGAGCAAAUUAAAAAGAUAGUACCACAAGAGGAAGAGACGGCUAACUCUGUGCCAGCAGCCCCGGUAAUACAGAGGUCUCAAGCGUUGUUCGGAAUCACUGGGCGUAAAGCGUGCGUAGGCUGUUUCGUAAGUCGUGUGUGAAAGGCGCGGGCUCAACCCGCGGACGGCACAUGAUACUGCGAGACUAGAGUAAGGGAGGGGGAACCGGAAUUCUCGGUGUAGCAGUGAAAUGCGUAGAUAUCGAGAGGAACACUCGUGGCGAAGGCGGGUUCCUGGACAUUAACUGACGCUGAGGCACGAAGGCCAGGGGAGCGAAAGGGAUUAGAUACCCCUGUAGUC
rnacentral:rRNA from 1 species